GAAAUGCGAUAAGUAAUGUGAAUUGCAGAAUUCCGUGAAUCAUCGAAUCUUUGAACGCACAUUGCGCCCUCUGGUAUUCCGGGGGGCAUGCCUGUCCGAGCGUCAUUGCGAACCCCUCAAGCACGGCUUGUGUGAUGGGCCCUCCCGCGUCUUGGUCGUCAAGACGGGCCCGAAAUGCAGUGGCGGCUUCGCGGUUAUCCGAUCAGCCAGAGCGUAUGGGGACGCUACAGUCACACGCUCGCGGCGCGGACCGGCGCUGGCCGACCCCCCUAACCAUUCUACGGUUUGACCUCGGAUCAGGUAGGGAUACCCGCUGAACUUAAGC
rnacentral:misc_RNA from 1 species